GGGGGCGUUCUGGAUUCGACGGGGAUUGUUCGGGCAUGAUCGGCGGGCCGUGGGGCUGCGCCCACGUAAAAAACGCGAACUUAAAUACAAACGCAAAAACACAACGUAACAACUUCAGAAGCAGUAACCUCGCUUUAGCUGCCUAAUAAGCAGUAAGCGACGUCUUUACGCCUUUCUCCCAUGAUUGCGUAAAGGCGCUACCUUAGUGGGAUAGCUGGAGCAGGUGCCUGUGGGCUCUUAGCGAACUACAUUGCAGGCUAGCCACCUGAU
rnacentral:tmRNA from 1 species